CCGGAGCGGAUCACCUACUUACCAGCAUAAAUUUCUCAAGUAAUUGGAUAUUAAUUCACCAACGCGGAAGGAUCGAAGCUCAAUCGCCUACGGCUUCGUCACGUCCUUCGCGCCGGAAAAAUUCGAUUAACGAGCUACACUAUGAAAAAACCUGAGCAUAGAGAUCUGUCGUCUCAAUGGAAUAGAUUAUGUUAGCCACCAUAUGAUGAAGCUAUGUUUCACUCGUCUCCUGGGGUAGUGCUGCAUGUGCCAGAAACAUCUCAUCCUUUUCUGAUGCAAGCAUUUUGAUGUGCUUCUUAUUUUUUAAUACUCCUACUUGUGAAGUUCACUUAUGCCAAUAGAUAGCUGGAGUUCAUUACUGGAAGCAUGGAAAGAAAGGUUCGGCUGUGUUCUAGAAGAUGAAGUUCGUUUGAACCGAAUUGCCAAGCAUUUGUUUAUUUUGUUGGAAAAUCAGUUUCCGAUCAAGGAACAGGGGUUUCAGGCAAUUCCUUCAGCAAUUUCAAGACAGAAUCACAACUGACGAUGCUAGAAAAGCUGCAUAAGCCUCAAAUCUAUAUGGUGAUGCAUUACUGUUGUGAUAUUAUCUAUGUAACAAAGUGUCCACAUACUGGUGCAUAUCUUCAUGAGUCGCAUUCAUUUUAAUGCUACACGAAGGGAGGCUUACAUGCACGUGGUUUGACUAUCUCAUUUUUCAGACAGUUUUAGCUAAACAAAAAACUAAGCAUCUUUUUUCAAGGUAUAACCUAAGUGAUCCCUGGUUCCAUAUUUGUACCGCUCAUGAGAAACCCUUCUACACCUCGACAGUUUUUGCUGCAUCUGCUAUACGACUCAUUGAGAUUGCUGAACUGGAAGGAUCGUCCCUUGCUCAACGUUUUUCAGACGAACCUUUUGUUGAAUAAGUUGCAACAGUUGUCGCUUGCACGACUUCUUCCAGAUUACAUUUACGCUAACUUUCCAACGGAAGCCUUCAAUUCUGUCCAGCUGGCCCUUGCAGCCAAUCUUGGCCGCGCCAUCCUUGAAGGGUAGGAGUGCAGCUUGUUACUGAUUUUUUGUGAUAUUAGUUUGUGUUUUCACCUGUGUGGGAACUUUCCAACUUUGAUUUUAGGUUUAUACAUCAGAGUUCAGACCGAAUUUGUUGUUGAUUAUAUGGAUUUUUAAUUUAUUGUAAUUACAAAUUAUCAAUAUGCUUGAACGAUUGAAUCUAUAAAUUUUUUUUGUCAUAUUUCAUUCA